GCUGCCGUGCAGUCUACGGCCGUUUGAUUCUGCAGCGAAGUGGGCCAAACUAAAAGUUGGGAAAAGUUUCACUUUUAGCGGCAAAGUGCAGCCAGAGAGAACCUGCAGCCAAUCAGUAAACAGAUCCUGUGACUCCUGUGACAUGAAACACAUCAACAC